rnacentral:rRNA from 1 species
AGUAACACGUAGGAACCUGCCCCUUAGUGGAAGAUAGCCUGCCGAAAGGUGGGGUAAUAUUCCAUGUUCUACGUUCAUUUACUGAACGUAGCAAAGAGCGUAACUGCUCGCUAAAGGAUGGGCCUGCGUCCUAUCAGGUAGUUGGUAGAGUAAUAGCCUACCAAGCCUAUGACGGGUAGCUGGCUUGAGAGAGUGGUCAGCCAGAGGGGGACUGAGACACGGCCCCC